rnacentral:rRNA from 1 species
GAUGAACGCUAGCGACAGGCCUAACACAUGCAAGUCGAGGGGCAGCACGAAGUAAGCUUGCUUACUUUGGUGGCGACCGGCGCACGGGUGCGUAACAGGUGUGCAAUCUGUCCAUAAUCGGGGAAUAGCCCAGCGAAAGUUGGAUUAAUGCUCCAUGUGAGUUUUAGAGGCAUCUCUUUAAUUUGAAACGUAAGGAUUAUGGGUGAGCACGGUUCUGAUUAGGUAGUUGGUGAGGUAACGGCUCACCAAGCCGACGAUCAGUAGGGGUUCUGAGAGGAAGGUCCCCCACAUUGGAACUGAGACACGGUCCAAACUCCUACGGGAGGCAGCAGUGAGGAAUAUUGGUCAAUGGACGGAAGUCUGAACCAGCCAAGUCGCGUGAAGGAUGAAGGUUCUAUGGAUUGUAAACUUCUUUUGUCUGAGGGUAAAAAAGCGGACGUGUCCGUUCUUGCAAGUAUCAGACGAAUAAGCAUCGGCUAACUCCGUGCCAGCAGCCGCAGUAAGAC